GCAGUCGUACGAGAGUUUUUAACUCAAGUGGCGGACGGGUGAGUAACACGUGAGAAUCUACCUUUAGGAGGGGGAUAACAACUGGAAACGGUUGCUAAUACCCCAUAUGCUUUCGAGUGAAAUGGAUUUAUCCGCCUAGAGAGGAGCUCGCGGCUGAUUAGCUUGUUGGUAGGGUAAUGGCCUACCAAGGCGACGAUCAGUAUCUGGUUUGAGAGGACGAUCAGACACACUGGAACUGAGACACGGUCCAGACUCCUACGGGAGGCAGCAGUGGGGAAUUUUCCGCAAUGGGCGAAAGCCUGACGGAGCAAUACCGCGUGAGGGAAGACGGCCUAUGGGUUGUAAACCUCUUUUCUCAGGGAGGAACUCAAUGACGUGUACCUGAGGAAUAAGCAUCGGCUAACUCCGUGCCAGCAGCCGCGGUAAGACGGAGGAUGCAAGUGUUAUCCGGAAUCACUGGGCGUAAAGCGUCUGUAGGUGGUUUAAUAAGUCAACUGUUAAAUCUUGAAGCUCAACUUCAAAAUCGCAGUCGAAACUAUUAGACUAGAGUAUAGUAGGGGUAAAGGGAAUUUCCAGUGGAGCGGUGAAAUGCGUAGAGAUUGGAAAGAACACCGAUGGCGAAGGCACUUUACUGGGCUAUUACUAACACUCAGAGACGAAAGCUAGGGUAGCAAAUGGGAUUAGAUACCCCAGUAGUCCUAGCUGUAAACAAUGGAUACUAGAUGUUGAACAGAUCGACCUGUGCAGUAUUAAAGCUAACGCGUUAAGUAUCCCGCCUGGG
rnacentral:rRNA from 1 species